rnacentral:lncRNA from 1 species
AGUUUGCAGUGCGGUGAGAAAAAGCACAGUCUUGAAUAUUAAGUCCGAACCCACAUGCAAAGUGGUGAUGGAGAUGGCGGCGCUCCGCCCGGCAGAGGGCGCUGUGACGAACUUCCGUCCUCUUUGUAAACACGGAAGUACCUGCGAGGAUACAACGUCUUGUGCGUGUGGAGUUAACGGGGGGCUUGAGUUUGCGUUUACUGUCUUUUCUGCUUGAUUUGCGAUUCCUGGCAAGAACGCGGAGCGAACAAACCGUAACUCUGCCUCAGGGAGCUGCUGAGAUCAGCAAAGGCUUUAGGUCUGUCAGACAUGGGCUUGGAGGGAGACUUGAACUGGAUUUCAGCACUGGAAGAGGAGCUCUCUGAUUUAGAUAUCAGGGAGAACACCUCCUGCACAACAACAGACCAAUCACACCACUGGACCUUAGACCUAUCAGCCAAUCCAUGGGAAGGCAGCACUACUUUCCAGC